rnacentral:rRNA from 1 species
GUAGGGAAUUUUCGGCAAUGGGCGGAAGCCUGACCGAGCAAUGCCGCGUGAGUGAAGAAGGCCUUCGGGUUGUAAAGCUCUGUUGUAAAGGAAGAACGGUGGAGAUAGGGAAUGAUCUUCAAGUGACGGUACUUUACGAGGAAGUCACGGCUAACUACGUGCCAGCAGCCGCGGUAAUACGUAGGUGGCGAGCGUUAUCCGGAAUUAUUGGGCGUAAAGGGUGCGCAGGCGGCAAGAGAAGCUUAAGUUGAAAGCGUGGGGCUCAACUCCAUAAAGGCUUAGGAACUGACUUGCUGGAGUGCAGGAGAGGGCGAUGGAAUUCCAUGUGUAGCGGUAAAAUGCGUAGAGAUAUGGAGGAACACCAGUGGCGAAGGCGGUCGCCUGGCCUGUAACUGACGCUGAGGCACGAAAGCGUGGGGAGCAAAUAGGA